rnacentral:lncRNA from 1 species
UGAGACACCAGGAGGUGCGCGAGCUCCGGUGACGACAGCGAAGUCAGAUAGAAAGAAGAAGAUAGAGAGAAAGAGAGAGAGUUUUAUUGAAAAAAUUUAAUAAUAUGCAAUACAAUACCUCUGCUAUAUAUAUAGCAGGGAUUAGGAAAACAGAGAGGCUUACAACAAACUCAACAAACUAAACUAUUAGUUGUUAAGCCGUUUUGCUACUUUUGCCUAAUUUGCUCCCUCAAAUGAAUCCUCCGGGAACCUCUGAACCUUCCACCCUCUGGGAACCAUUGAUUUGCUCCCUCAAAUGAAUCCUCCGGGAACCACUGAACUCACACCAAGCUUAAUCUCCAUUCUUUAGAUCAAGAGAAGUAACAGUAAGCUUCCCACAUAGCUUGUCAAAGAACCUGAAAGAUAAAGGCUUUGUUAACACAUCUGCAAUUUGAUUAUCAGCUAGUACAUGCACCAGCUUUCUUUCCAUUACUUUCUCCCUGACAAAAUAAAGGUCUAACUCCAUAUGCUUAGUUCUUGAAUGCAAAACUGGAUUAGCUGAAAGGGAAACAGUGCUUAUAUUGUCACACCAAAUUACAGGAACCAUAGUCAUCUUAGAUUUGAGCUCAGACAAGAGGAACAGUUCUGAGGUCAAGCUAGCCAAGCUUCUAUAUUCUGCUUCAGUACUAGAUCUGGAAAUAGUGUGCUGCAUUUCGUUUGAGAGGGACUUGCAAGAAAUGCAGGAAAAGCUUGAGCAAUUGCGGCUUGAGAAGGAGAAGACGGAGGAGUUAUUGAAGGCUAGAGACGAGAUGUUGAAAAUCAAGGAGGAAGAGCUCGAGACAAGGGGUCGAGAACAGGAGAAGCUUCAGAUGGAGUUGAAGAAGUUGCAGAAGUUGAAGAAGUUCAAACCCACCGUGACAUUUCCACUUCACUCUCUGAGAGAUAAAGAACAAGAAAAGAAGGAGAAGAACAAAAAAAGGGCUGCCCAGAAACGAAAAGGCCAUCUCCGUCGUAUGUACUCUGAUGCAAGGAUCAGUGGAAUGAGGCCAAGAAAGCAAACCCGGAUGCAGACUUCAAGGAGAUCUCAAAAAUUUUGGGGGCUAAAUGGAAGACAAUCAGCCCAGAAGAGAAGAAGCCGAAUGAGGAGAAAUAUCAGACUGAGAAGGAAGCCUAUUUGCAGAUAGUGGGGAAGGAGAAGCGCGAAAAUGAAGCCUUGAGGCUGUUGGAAGAGGAACAGAAGCAGAAGACAGCUAUGGAGUUGCUCGAGCAAUAUCUCCAGUUCAAACAGGAAGCAGAAAAGGAGAACAAGAAGACAAAGAAAGAGAAGACCCAUUGAAACUGAAGCAUCCUAUAUCAACAUUUUUUUUUUCUCAAAAGAAAGGCGAGCAGCUCUGCUUGCAGAGGAUAAGAAUGUUUUAGAGAUUACCAAGAUUGCUGGUGAAGAGUGGAAGAACAUGACGGAAAAGCAGAAACGCCCUUACGAAGAGAUUGCAAAGAAAAACAAGGCAAAGUAUCAGGAAGAAAUGAAGUUGUACAAACAGCAGAAGGAUGAAGCAGCUGAAAAUCUCAAGAAGGGAAAGGAGGAGCAUAUGAAAAUCCAGAAACAUGAAGCAUUACAACUGCUCAAGAAUAAAGAAAAAAACCGAAAAUAUAAUCAAGAAAACCAAGGAGAAUCGCCAGAAGAAGAAGAAGUAGAAGGAAAAGGCCAACUCUGAUCCAAACAAGCCUAAGAAGUUGGCGUUGGUAAUCUCUGAAUUUUGGAUUUGGAACCAAAAUCCCUGUUCCAUCAAUCACCAUCUUUGGUGAAAGGUGCUCUGUUCCAAACAGGAAACCUUCAAGACCAUAACCCCGUACAACAUUUUCAAUUUGAUACCUCCACAUCAAGAAAUUAUCAUCCUCCAGACGCAUCGUAAUAAGCUGACUCAAAGGGCUUAUUAUCAUUCUCAAAGAUUCGUCUGUGGUCGUCGGAUUGCCUCUUCUAGCUUCAGCUGAAGGAUCCGAUCGUAGCACCUCUCCAUUAGUAUGAUUUACAGGGGCCAUUGAUGCGUAAGCCCUAAGCUCUGAUACCAAGAUAGAAAGAAGAAGAUAGAGAGAAAGAGAGAGAGUUUUAUUGAAAAAAUUUAAUAAUAUGCAAUACAAUACCUCUGCUAUAUAUAUAACAGGGAUUAGGAAAACAGAGAGGCUUACAACAAACUCAACAAACUAAACUAUUAGUUGUUAAGCCGUUUUGCUACUUUUGCCUAAUUAAGUCCCAGUGGAGUUAAGAAUCAACGAGAGCUGAACCGCCUAUAGAAGGGGAUCACUGUUCCGGUGAUGGCGAAGGCGUUUUGCCGCCGCCGGCGUCGUUCGAGGGCGUCUUUGCUUGCUUUAUUUCUUUCUCAAUACCAAAGCACUGAUAGAGACACCCUUAUUUGGAGAAAUCUUGAGGAUCCAGUAAUACAGCGACACGCGCGAGUCAAUUACAGCUUGAGUGCAACAAACUUUCCAUCUUAAGAAAACCCCUCCUCACAAUUACUCUCUCUUUUUAUGCUGUCAUUACAUCUUAUGUUGUUUUCCCUCAAACUCUCCCAUUUUAAUAGCCGAGGACUGAGAACCAAUCUUCUGCAAUACCCUUCUUCUUCAGGCGAAAAUGGGAGAUCUAAUGCAUAAUACGGAUGGGUACCAGGAACAGGGGAUGAACAACAAAAUAGAGCAAGAAUAACAGGAAGCGAAAUGAACCCAUUCAAGCCUCAUUUCAUAUAUUUAUCGAAGGGCUCGAAUGCAGGGAUGGGUCAAAAUGGUUUUUCAAACAGAUUACAUAGAAAACGUAAGUUCGUAGAGACCAGCAAACUCCCAGAGAGAAGAACAAACCAACUUUUAAAAAAUGGGUUAGAAGCAAAACACAAAGUGAGUAUAAGCAAACUUCGCCAUCAACAUGAAACAUAUUAUAUCCAAAAAGCAUAAAUCAAAUGACCUGAAUAUAGAAACAAACCUAUGGAAAUCAUACCUGUGGAAGUCUUUCUCUAGCAAAGAUCAGCAGGACUCCAAGUUUUGCUUCAGAAAAUGUCUCUCUCUCGACAGCUUCCCCUCCGUAGCAGCCUAAACUCCAGGAAUCUCUCACUCUCUUCUCAUUUCCCUCACCCCACAGCUCUGGGAUCCCCCCUCAGGAAAAAAUCCUCCUCAAUGACCAGAAAAAUCACAUUUUCGUUGGUUCUCGCCCUCACCCAGAAAGAUGAAUCCCUUCCUCUGUAACAGCUUUCCUCCCUCUGUAACAGCUUCCCCCUCUCGAAAAAAUCCCUCUCUACUCCCCCCCAAAAGAGAUGAACUCUCCUCUCACUUUUUCUCUCUCUCACAGCUCUGGGAUCUCUCUCUCUACCCAAAGUAACCAAACAAAAGCUCCUGCCCCCCGGUAAAGCUCCCUGCCACCUUCCUCUUCAAGGACCAUAUCCAUUUUCUCUCCCGGAUUUGCCCCUCCGACCAUCCCUGCAGCCACCUCCAGCACCCCUACACUCUGCACCACUACCUUGCUAAUAACAGAAGACGCUCCUCAAACGGCCAGACGACCUGC